rnacentral:rRNA from 1 species
GUUGACGGUACCGGAGGAAUAAGCACCGGCUAACUUCGUGCCAGCAGCCGCGGUAAUACGAAGGGUGCAAGCGUUAUCCGGAUUCAUUGGGUUUAAAGGGUGCGUAGGCGGAGCGUUAAGUCAGUGGUGAAAUCCUGCAGCUUAACUGUAGACUUGCCAUUGAUACUGGCGCUCUUGAGUGCGCUUGAAGUGGGCGGAAUGUGCCGUGUAGCGGUGAAAUGCUUAGAUAUGGCACAGAACACCAAUUGCGAAGGCAGCUCACUAAGGCGAUACUGACGCUGAGGCACGAAAGCGUGGGGAUCGAACAGGAUUAGAUACCCUGGUAGUCCACGCCGUAAACGAUGAUCACUCGUCAUUGGCGAUAUACGGUCAGUGACCUAGCGAAAGCGUUAAGUGAUCCACCUGGGGAGUACGGCCGCAAGGCUGAAACUCAAAGGAAUUGACGGGGGCCCGCACAAGCGGUGGAGCAUGUGGUUUAAUUCGAUGAUACGCGAGGAACCUUACCAGGGCUCGAACGCACGUGGACAGGGGCGGAAACGUCCUCUUCUUCGGACUGCGUGCGAGGUGCUGCAUGGCUGUCGUCAGCUCGUGCCGUGAGGUGUCGGGUUAAGUCCCAUAACGAGCGCAACCCCCAUCUCUAGUUGCCAGCGGGUAAUGCCGGGGACUCUAGAGAAACUGCCCGUGUAAACGGUGAGGAAGGUGGGGACGACGUCAAGUCAUCACGGCCCUUACGUCCUGGGCUACACACGUGCUACAAUGGCGAGUACAGAGGGAAGCUACUGGGUGACCAGGUGCAGAUCUUGAAAACUCGUCUCAGUUCGGAUCGGAGUCUGCAACCCGACUCCGUGAAG